rnacentral:lncRNA from 10 species
GGGAGGGUCCAGGGGAGCCUGGCAGUGGUCGGGGCCGUGGGCACAGCAGAGCUGUGGUGCUGGGGGCAGCCAGCCAUGGACAACGUCAACUAGGACCUGUUAGAGCCGGGGUCUUACUCUUGCUUUCAGGGCAGAAAGGACUUUUGCUGAAAUCCCCAGCGGGGCACUCGACCCCUCUAGUGGGUUGUGCCAUGCACUCCAUUGUCGCCGCCCCCGACCGGCCCCUGGCACCGUGUCCCUCCUACCUGAGCAGGCUCUGACUCCAGCCCUGGACACAGCUGGGGUGGCCACGGUGACUGCUGAGAAGAGGGGCUGUCCACACAGCCUGGUGGCUUGGAGCCCCGGGACCCCCACACCUGGGUCAGGGUGGGGCCGGAUGAGGUCUGAGCAGGCGCCCGACAGCCCCGUGUGCAGGAGACGCACAGCACUCACCGACCCCAGGCGUGACUACGUUUGAGGCAACCAUGAAGGCUUCAGACAUUCAAACUUCUUAAUAGACCAGGCGUGGUGGCUCACGCC